rnacentral:rRNA from 1 species
CAGCCGCCGCGGUAAUACGAAGGGUGCAAGCGUUACUCGGAAUUACUGGGCGUAAAGCGUGCGUAGGUGGUUCGUUAAGUCUGAUGUGAAAGCCCUGGGCUCAACCUGGGAAUUGCAUUGGAUACUGGCGAGCUAGAGUGCGGUAGAGGGUAGUGGAAUUCCCGGUGUAGCAGUGAAAUGCGUAGAGAUCGGGAGGAACAUCUGUGGCGAAGGCGACUGCCUGGACCAGCACUGACACUGAGGCACGAAAGCGAGGGGAGCGAACAGGAUUAGAUACCCCGGUAGUCCCUGUCUCUUAUAC